GACGUAGGGGGCGAGCGUUGUCCGGAUUUAUUGGGCGUAAAGCGCGCGCAGGCGGCCCGGAAAGUCGGGUGUGAAACCCCGGGGCUCAACCCCGGGACUGCAUCCGAUACUCCCGGGCUCGAGGCAGGCAGGGGAGAGCGGAAUUCCUGGUGUAGCGGUGAAAUGCGCAGAUAUCAGGAGGAACACCGGUGGCGAAGGCGGCUCUCUGGGCCUGUCCUGACGCUCAGGCGCGAAAGCUAGGGGAGCGAACAGG
rnacentral:rRNA from 1 species